UAUAUUUUAGUGUAAGAUGCACAUUAAUUUUUGAUAUUAAGAGAUAUAGUUUAAUUCUAUAAAAUAUAA
rnacentral:tRNA from 1 species